rnacentral:rRNA from 1 species
UACAGAGGUCUCAAGCGUUGUUCGGAUUCAUUGGGCGUAAAGGGUGCGUAGGUGGCGCCAUAAGUCAGGUGUGAAAUCUCGGGGCUCAACCCCGAAACUGCACUUGAUACUGUGGUGCUCGAGUACUGGAGAGGAGAUUGGAAUUUACGGUGUAGCAGUGAAAUGCGUAGAUAUCGUAAGGAAGACCAGUGGCGAAGGCGAAUCUCUGGACAGUUACUGACACUGAGGUGCGAAAGCGUGGGGAGCAAACAGG